rnacentral:misc_RNA from 1 species
UGUAAUCAUCUCCAUUAUACAUCUGCAAUUGAAAGAGAAGAAAGGUCAACUUGGAAGAUACGUAAAAUGUCCAAGACAAAUUUUAAAGCAUCAUCUAAAUUUCUUUUCAUUCGAACUCCAGAUCCUUGAACACAACAUAGUUGAAAUUCAUGCAUGCAUUGACUGGUUCAUAACAUAACUCCAGCAUCUUUUCACAGUAAAAAGAUACAUAUAAUAAGAACAGAGCUUUUUACGCAAUUAUAUAUAGGUGAAAUAAUUUAUAAAAUUCAACAUCUGAACAUGAUCAGCUCCGAAGCAGCAGAAGAUCCAAAAAAUUAGCUGCUUAAGUUCUGGCAUCCUCAUAAUAAGAAAAUUAUUAUAAGAAUUAAUCACAAAAGAGAGCAAGAGAUGGAUCAUUAAUGUACAGGUCAGACUGGCAGAUGUGCUAACAAAAUAGCAAAUAUAACUCAUGACAAAUGUGAAGGCAGCAAAUAUUCUAUGCUACAUCAGCAAAUUUUUGCCACAUCAGAGUAGACAUACAUCUUAGCCAAGAUUCCCACAGUAUGCGGACUAAAUUGAUAAUUAAAAGAAUUAGAUAAAAUUAAAACAGUAGCAAUUAAGCAAAAAGAAAAGCUAUUCAGAAAUUGCACAACCAGUGAAUAGAUGAGGUCAUUUUAACUUGACAAUCGUAAGAUAAUAUUAUAAUGAGAUAUAUAUGUGCCAAUCAAGAGGUAGUCUGAUUAGUUUUCCUUCAACUUUAAGGUGCAGGGAGUGGAGAAGUCUCGAAUUCGAGUCUUCCAUCUACCUAUUAUAAGAUUAUUCACCUUUAUAGUGAGAAAAUGAGAGGGCUACCUGAUAUGAACCUACCCAACUCUACCUCAAAAGCCAACUUAUAAGGGGACGAUUGCAAACCCAUAUAUAUAACA